rnacentral:lncRNA from 1 species
UUGUGUUCAGCAUUCUGCAUCCCAUUCCCACAUCCCAUUCCUGCAUCCCAUUCCCACAUCAUGUUUAGCAUCCCACUUCCCAUUCCCAUAUCCCAUUCCUGCAUCCCAUUCCCACAUCACGUUCAGCAUCCUGCAUCCCAUUCCCACAUUGUGUUCAGCAUCCUACAUCCCAUUCCCACAUCCCAUUCCUGCAUCCCAAUCUUGCAUCGUGUUCAGCAUCCUGCAUCCCAUUCCCACUUCCCAUUCCCACAUCCCAUUCCUGCAUCCCGUUCCCACAUUGUGCUCAGAAUCCCACAUCCCAUUCCCUCAUCCUAUUCCUGCAUCCCAUUCUCACAUCCCAUUCCUGCAUCCCAAUCCUUCAUUGUGUUCACCAUCCCACAUCCCAUUCCCACAUCCCAUUCCUGCAUCCCAUUCCCACACUGUGUUCAGCAUCCCACAUCCCAUUCCCUCAUCCUAUUCCUGCAUCCCAUUCUCACAUCCCAUUCCUGCAUCGUGUUCAGCAUCCCAC